UUAAGUCCCGCAACGAGCGCAACCCCUAUCUUUAGUUACCAUCAUUCAGUUGGGGACUCUAAAGAUACUGCCCCGGUCAACGGGGAGGAAGGUGGGGAUGACGUCAAGUCCUCAUGGCCCUUAUGUCCAGGGCUACACACGUGCUACAAUGGGCAGUACAAAGGGUAGCAAGCCUGCGAAGGUGAGCCAAUCUCAAAAAGCUGUUCGUAGUUCGGAUUGGAGUCUGCAACUCGACUCCAUGAAGCUGGAAUCGCUAGUAAUCGCGCAUCAGCAUGGCGCGGUGAAUACGUUCCCGGGCCUU
rnacentral:rRNA from 1 species